UAAUAUGAUUUGAUCCUGGCUCAGGACGAACGCUGGCGGCGUGCCUAAUACAUGCAAGUUGAGCGCUGAAGGUUGGUACUUGUACCAACUGGAUGAGCAGCGAACGGGUGAGUAACGCGUGGGGAAUCUGCCUUUGAGCGGGGGACAACAUUUGGAAACGAAUGCUAAUACCGCAUAAAAACUUUAAACACAAGUUUUAAGUUUGAAAGAUGCAAUUGCAUCACUCAAAGAUGAUCCCGCGUUGUAUUAGCUAGUUGGUGAGGUAAAGGCUCACCAAGGCGAUGAUACAUAGCCGACCUGAGAGGGUGAUCGGCCACAUUGGGACUGAGACACGGCCCAAACUCCUACGGGAGGCAGCAGUAGGGAAUCUUCGGCAAUGGACGAAAGUCUGACCGAGCAACGCCGCGUGAGUGAAGAAGGUUUCGGAUCGUAAAACUCUGUUGGUAGAGAAGAACGUUGGUGA
rnacentral:rRNA from 1 species